rnacentral:rRNA from 1 species
AGUAUUAUAAUUAUUAGUAUUUAUAGUAGUUAUAAGUAGUUAUAUAAUAAUAUAAUAGGUGUUAGGUGUAAGUGCAACAAUGCAUGUAGCUUAAGCAUACUAAGAAAAAAAAAGACCAAUAGAAUUAAAC